rnacentral:rRNA from 1 species
AAGAUUUAUCGGUGAUGGAUGGGGAUGCGUCUGAUUAGCUUGUUGGCGGGGUAACGGCCCACCAAGGCGACGAUCAGUAGGGGUUCUGAGAGGAAGGUCCCCCACAUUGGAACUGAGACACGGUCCAAACUCCUACGGGAGGCAGCAGUGAGGAAUAUUGGUCAAUGGGCGAGAGCCUGAACCAGCCAAGUAGCGUGCAGGAUGACGGCCCUAUGGGUUGUAAACUGCUUUUAUAAGGGAAUAAAGUGAGUCUCGUGAGACUUUUUGCAUGUACCUUAUGAAUAAGGACCGGCUAAUUCCGUGCCAGCAGCCGCGGUAAUACGGAAGGUCCGGGCGUUAUCCGGAUUUAUUGGGUUUAAAGGGAGCGUAGGCCGGAGAUUAAGCGUGUUGUGAAAUGUAGACGCUCAACGUCUGCACUGCAGCGCGAACUGGUUUCCUUGAGUACGCACAAAGUGGGCGGAAUUCGUGGUGUAGCGGUGAAAUGCUUAGAUAUCACGAAGAACUCCGAUUGCGAAGGCAGCUCACUGGAGCGCAACUGACGCUGAAGCUCGAAAGUGCGGGUAUCGAACAGGAUUAGAUACCCUGGUAGUCCGCACGGUAAACGAUGGAUGCCCGCUGUUGGUCUGAAUAGGUCAGCGGCCAAGCGAAAGCAUUAAGUCAUCCCACCUGGGGAGUAC